rnacentral:rRNA from 1 species
GAUUAACGCUGGCGGCGUGCUUAACACAUGCAAGUCGAACGAGAAAGUCCUAGCUUGCUAGGGCGAGUAAAGUGGCGCACGGGUGAGUAACGCGUGAAUAAUCUACCUUCGAAUCUGUGAACAACACACCGAAAGGUGUGCUAAUACCGGAUAAUAUCUUUGCCCUUCGGUGUAGAAGAUCAAAGGCGGCCUCUUCUUGAAAGCCGUUGUUUGGAGAUGAGUUCGCGUACCAUUAGCUAGUUGGUGGGGUAAAGGCCUACCAAGGCUACGAUGGUUAGCUGGUCUGAGAGGAUGACCAGUCACACUGGAACUGAGACACGGUCCAGACUCCUACGGGAGGCAGCAGUGAGGAAUCUUGCGCAAUGGGGGAAACCCUGACGCAGCAACGCCGCGUGAGUGAUGAAGGCUCUUGGGUCGUAAAGCUCUGUCAAUAGGGAGAAAUCAUCUAUGGUUAAUAUCCAUAGUUGUUGACGGUACCUAUGAAGGAAGCACCGGCUAACUCCGUGCCAGCAGCCGCGGCAAUACGGGGGGUGCAAGCGUUACUCGGAGUUAUUGGGCGUAAAGGGAGUGUAGGCGGUUGGGUUAGUCAGAUGUGAAAGCCUUCUGCUCAACAGAAGAAGUACGUCUGAAAAUGCCCAGCUUGAGUACGAGAGAGGAAAGUGGAAUUCCCAGUGUAGAGGUGAAAUUCGUAGAUAUUUGGAGGAACAUCGGUGGCGAAGGCGACUUUCUGGAUCGAUACUGACGCUGAGACGCGAAAGCGUGGGGAGCGAACAGGAUUAGAUACCCUGGUAGUCCACGCCGUAAACGAUGGGAACUAGGUGUAGGGGGUAUUGACCCCCCCUGUGCCGUAGCUAACGCAUUAAGUUCCCCACCUGGGGACUACGGUCGCAAGACUAAAACUCAAAGGAAUUGACGGGGGCCCGCACAAGCGGUGGAGCAUGUGGUUUAAUUCGAGGCAACGCGAAGAACCUUACCAGCUUUUGACAUCCCGGUCGCGGUUAGCAGAGAUGCUUUCCUUCAGUUCGGCUGGACCGGUGACAGGUGCUGCAUGGUUGUCGUCAGCUCGUGUCGUGAGAUGUUGGGUUAAGUCCCGCAACGAGCGCAACCCUCGCCUUUAGUUGCCAGCAUUUAGUUGGGCACUCUAGAGGGACUGCCGGUGAUAAGCCGGAGGAAGGUGGGGAUGACGUCAAAUCAUCAUGGCCCUUACGGGCUGGGCUACACACGUGCUACAAUGGCGGUGACAGUGAGCAGCCACUCAGCAAUGGGGAGCUAAUCUCUAAAAGCCGUCUCAGUUCGGAUUGUUCUCUGCAACUCGAGAGCAUGAAGUUGGAAUCGCUAGUAAUCGUGGAUCAGCAUGCCACGGUGAAUACGUUCCCGGGCCUUGUACACACCGCCCGUCACACCAUGGGAGUUGGU